UCUGAAGUGAAGAAGGACUCUAGCCAGUUAGGAACAGAUGCAACCAAGGAAAAACCUAAAGAAGUAGCAGAAAAUCAGCAGAAUCAGUCUUCCGAUCCAGAGGAGGAAAAAGGUUCCCAGCCACCUCCUGCAGCUGAAAGCCAAAGUAGUCUACGCCGCCAGAAGAGAGAGAAGGAAACAUCGGAGAGCAGGGGUAUUUCUCGGUUCAUACCGCCAUGGCUUAAGAAGCAAAAGUCAUAUACCUUAGUAGUGGCCAAAGAUGGAGGAGAUAAAAAAGAGCCUACCCAAGCUGUUGUUGAAGAACAGGUCUUAGAUAAAGAGGAACCCCUUCCAGAAGAACAGAGACAGGCUAAGGGUGAUGCUGAAGAAAUGGCUCAGAAGAAACAAGAGAUUAAAGUUGAAGUCAAGGAAGAAAAACCCUCAGUGAGCAAGGAAGAAAAACCCUCAGUGAGCAAAGUGGAGAUGCAGCCUACUGAAUUAGUAAGUAAGGAGAGAGAAGAGAAGGUAAAAGAAACACAGGAAGACAAAUUAGAAGGAGGAGCAGCAAAAAGGGAGACCAAGGAAGUGCAGACCAAUGAGCUGAAAGCAGAGAAGGCAUCUCAAAAAGUCACCAAGAAGACCAAAACUGUCCAGUGUAAAGUGACCCUCUUAGAUGGCACCGAAUACAGCUGUGACCUGGAGAAACAUGCCAAGGGACAAGUGUUAUUUGACAAAGUGUGUGAACACCUCAAUCUCUUGGAGAAAGACUACUUUGGACUUUUGUUUCAGGAAAGCCCUGAGCAGAAAAACUGGUUAGAUCCUGCUAAAGAAAUAAAGAGACAACUGAGAAACCUUCCAUGGCUAUUCACUUUUAAUGUGAAGUUUUAUCCUCCUGAUCCUUCUCAAUUGACUGAAGAUAUCACCAGAUACUUCUUGUGCCUUCAGCUCCGGCAGGACAUUGCCUCUGGCCGCCUGCCCUGCUCUUUUGUGACUCAUGCUCUCCUGGGAUCCUACACCCUGCAGGCUGAACUUGGUGACUAUGACCCAGAAGAACAUGGCAGCAUCGACCUCAGUGAAUUCCAGUUUGCCCCUACUCAGACUAAGGAGCUGGAAGAGAAGGUGGCAGAGCUGCACAAAACCCACAGGGGCUUAUCGCCAGCACAAGCUGAUUCCCAGUUCUUAGAAAAUGCAAAGAGGCUUUCCAUGUAUGGUGUUGACCUACAUCAUGCCAAGGACUCAGAAGGUGUGGACAUCAAGCUGGGCGUGUGUGCUAAUGGACUUCUCAUUUACAAAGACAGACUGCGAAUCAAUCGUUUUGCUUGGCCGAAAAUCUUAAAAAUUUCCUAUAAACGCAGUAACUUUUACAUUAAAGUCAGACCAGCAGAGCUGGAACAGUUUGAGAGUACCAUUGGAUUCAAACUGCCAAACCACCGGGCAGCGAAAAGACUAUGGAAAGUGUGCGUGGAGCAUCAUACUUUCUACAGGCUUGUUUCUCCAGAGCAGCCACCAAAAGCCAAGUUCCUGACCUUGGGGUCCAAAUUUCGCUAUAGUGGCCGCACCCAAGCACAGACCCGCCAGGCCAGCACCCUCAUAGAUAGGCCAGCACCACACUUUGAGCGCACUUCUAGUAAACGGGUCUCCAGGAGUCUAGAUGGAGCUCCGAUUGGUGUCAUGGACCAAAGUCUUAUGAAGGAUUUUCCUGGCGCUGCUGGGGAGAUUUCAGCCUAUGGACCUGGACUUGUCAGCAUUGCCGUGGUACAAGAUGGGGACGGCAGGAGGGAAGUGAGAAGCCCAACUAAAGCCCCACAUUUGCAGCUCAUUGAAGGAAAGACUGUUUCCAUGUGCCCACCUUCACCUCUCAUCCACCGUACUUCAUCUUUUUCCCCAAACCUAUUGCCUGUCCCUGAAAUGGACUUGCUUUCAGACAUUUCAGAGGAAGACCCCUUUGGGGAGGCUGACCAGAUCACACUAGACAGCUUAGAGCACCUUUCCACAGGUGAAAUAUCGGAGCAGGGGGAUUCUGAAGUUGCUAUGCCUGAUUUGGUCUUGGAUUCUGCCAUAGCCCCUUCUCAGCCUGACUGUCCUUCUCCCAUCCAUGGGAAGACUCUUAAAGCAGCUGACGACAGUGAUUCUGAGUUUGGUUACUUCUCCUUCAGUUUCUCCAAAUGUUUUCCCUCCGGCUUCCCCUCCCUUCUUGAUGAAGAUGGAUAUCUUGCUUUCCCCAGCCUCCCCAAGGUCUGGGUCUCCUUCCUCCCCGCUGGUGUGCAGCACUAUGUCCCAAUCACCUCCCCUUCAUUCAUUCCUUCCCUUAUCCUCAUCUUUGGGCUACUUCUGUCUGCUUCUCAGUCAGUUCCUUUUUCUCUUGCCUUUUCCCUUCCUCUGGCUCUAUCCCUCUGCUAUCUGGAGGCUAAAGCCGCCUCCUUUAAUGUUUCUUAUGACUGUGACUUGAAUGACAAGCUAGAGGAAGAGGAAGUAGUUGCUGGCAUGCCUACGUAAGCUCAGUUUGUGGAGUCAACACAAUACACUUUAUCUUAAACCCUUCCUAAUAUAGAGUGUAAAUGUGUGCAUACAUUUCACCACUGAUUACCCUCAACAUAGUAGUACCUGCACAUUUUCACACACACAAUAUUUUAGUGCAUGAGAAAUAAGUGUAGACACUUCUCCUUCAUUGAUACCAUUGACCAGUUCCACACAUUCUAAGUUAGGAGCGAAAUUGUAGGAUUAUUUUACAAAUAUCUAGAUCAAAGUAGAUUUGUAACAGAAGGUGUGGGGGAGGAGGGAAGGAGGAGGGAACCUGUAUUGCCCAUAACAAUCCAUGCAGGGUCUCUCCAUUUUGCAAACAGAUAUUCAUGCUGUUCCUUUAGGAUGAAAUCUUUUUGUUUUGAUAUAGAAUUUAGGAUGCAGUGGACAUAACUGUUCUUGAUGUAUAUUAGUAGAAUUCCUUAGUACUGUUAUUUCUCUUAUUGGAAACCCAAGUGUGUUCUAGCAUCUACGAGGAUGUAUCUGUAACCUUUACUCCUGACAUUUGUAAGUCUAAUCUCAAAAGCUCCUUAUCUCCCUAUUAUUGUAGUAUUUGGAGACCAGAUGAAUUUUAGCUAGUUUUUUUUUCUAACCUUAAAUUAUGUAAUUAUAUAUAAGAGUCACUGUAGGGUAUUUUAUAAGGAAGGUACUAUUCUGUUGUCUUUAACAAAUGUAUGUGAAAAGUGAAACAUGGCUUUUUGAAAAUUUAGACUAUAUAACACUAAGAUUGGGCCUCAUAGUGCUCCUUUAUUUAAAAUUAGGUGUUUGGUUUGAGGAUUUUUACCCCUAUAUAAGGCAAAUUUUUUUCAAGUAUCCUACCUCUGUGCUACUAAGUCAGCAUUAACAUGUACAAUAUAUUUUUGAUUAUUUUGUUAAAUGUGGCCUGGUGAUUUAGU
rnacentral:sRNA from 1 species